CCUACGGGAGGCUGCAGUGAGGAAUAUUGGUCAAUGAGCUUACGCCUGAACCAGCCAAGUAGCGUGAGGGAAGACUGCCCUCUGGGUUGUAAACCUCUUUUGUCAGGGAGCAACGCCGGAUACGUGUAGCCGGACUGAGAGUACCUGAAGAAAAAGCAUCGGCUAACUCCGUGCCAGCAGCCGCGGUAAUACGGAGGGUCCGAGCGUUCUCCAGCCUUAUUGGGUUUAAAGGGAGCGUAGAUGGGUUGUUAGGGCAGUUGGUAAAGGUUGCGGCUCAACCGUAAGAUUGCAAUUGAUACUGGCAGCCUUGAGUACAGUUGAGGUAGGCGGAAUUCGUGGUGUAGCGGUGAAAUGCUUAGAUAUCACGAAGAACUCCGAUGGCGAAGGCAGCCUACUA
rnacentral:rRNA from 1 species